CUACGGGACGCUGCAGUGGGGAAUAUUGGACAAUGGACCAAAAGUCUGAUCCAGCAAUUCUGUGUGCACAAUGAAGGUCUUCGGAUUGUAAAGUGCUUUCAGUAGGGAAGAAGAAUGUGACGGUACCUACAGAAGAAGCGACGGCUAAAUACGUGCCAGCAGCCGCGGUAAUACGUAUGUCGCAAGCGUUAUCCGGAAUUAUUGGGCAUAAAGGGCGUCUAGGUGGUUUACUAAGUCUGAUGUGAAAAUGCGGGGCUCAACUCCGUAUUGCGUUGGAAACUGGUUUACUAGAGUCUUGGAGAGGUGGGCGGAACUACAAGUGUAGAGGUGAAAUUCGUAGAUAUUUGUAGGAAUGCCGAUGACGAAGGUAGCUCACUGGACAAGUACUGACACUAAAGCGCGAAAGCUAGGGGAGCAAACAGGAUUAGAUACCCUAGUAGUC
rnacentral:rRNA from 1 species